GGAAAUAUUGCAAAAUACAAAAAGAUUCCUGCCAACAGGUACAAUGGAAGGACUGUUUAUUAUAAUUUUUAAGAAAUUUUAAUUGCAAAAAUGGUGUGCCACUGUUGUUACUAUGACAUGUCAAAAUUUACAUGUAUUUUAGGAUUUACAUAUUCAGAUCAGAACUAAAACCUGACGAGGUUUUCCAUUGAUUCUAUGUUUUAUUUUAUUUUUUUUUAAAUGGUAUUCAACAUUUUUAAUCUGAAAUGAGGUUAACAGUUGUGGUUUUUCCGCACUUUAUUAAGCACUAACUUGUGAUAGAAAAUGAUGGAGCUAAAAAGCCAUAAUCUGUACCAACAAAUAUUGGUGCCUCUUCUUUGCACUUCUGUAGUAAGCAUGCCUUUAUUACACAUGUUAUCGCCAUGUGAGAGUCUGUAACUAAAGUUUGUCCUCUUCAGACUACAGUGAGUUCAUAAAGGCUUGAAGAAAUUGAGGAUUUUACUAGUUAUUUCAUGUCACAGUAAAUUGGAUUGUGUGUGAAGAGGUUCAACAGUGUAAGUCAUUAAACAGUGAUCUGAUGUGUUUCCUUUCUCUAGGAUACUGAUCUGAUCGUCUCAAGUCUGAGUGAACAGAUCUUUGGUUUUGCCUUUGCUGGUGACCUGCUCCAGAAGAUCCUCUCUCUCUAUCAUUAUAAGCAAUUCUGUCUAUCCUAUCACUCUCCCGACUCCAUCUAAUUUGACAGCCAUUCCAUCUUGUAUCCCUCUAUCCUCUACUGCUCUAUCUAAUUUGACAGCCAUUCUAUCUUGUAUCCCUCUAUCUCUACUGCUCUAUCUAAUUUGACAGCCAUUCUAUCUUGUAUCCCUCUAUCUCUACUGCUCUAUCUAAUUUGAGAAUCCAAGUUUUCAGAAAUCCAAGUUUUCAGAAUCCAAGUUUUCAGAAAUCCAAGUUACCAGUACUUGAUCUAUCUGUUACAGAAUUCUGAGAGAUCUCUGCUCUCACUGCUCCUUCUUUCCUGUCAUUAAGCUCUCUCACAUUCAGUCAUUUUGCUGGAAAUUACAAGUUGAAUUUACAGUACAGUAGAACUUAUAGUAGAACCUACUUACACAGCCCUACAUUAGUCAUUUUAAUUUUGCAUUAGACUUUGGAAUUAACACUGCUAGUUUGGCUUACUUUGAUACAUUGUAUAAAAUAUCACCUUUUUAUAAGUUUAUUUGUAAUAAGAUAAUCUGGUUCUUUUGUAAUACAUACAUUCAGAUAAAUAAUAAAUUAGAUCCAAAUACAUUUUGCUA